rnacentral:rRNA from 1 species
CCUACGGGUGGCAGCAGUCGGGAAUAUUGCGCAAUGGAGGAAACUCUGACGCAGUGACGCCGCGUGCAGGAAGAAGGUUUUCGGAUUGUAAACUGCUUUAGACAGGGAAGAAAAAAGCCAGUACUGUUAGAUUAAGCUCCGGCUAAUUACGUGCCAGGAGCCGCGGUAAUACGUAGGGAGCAAGCGUUAUCCGGUUUUAUUGGGUGUAAAGGGUGGGUAGACGGAGAAGCAAGUUAGUUGUGAAAUCCCUCGGCUUAACUGAGGAACUGCAACUAAAAUUACUUCCUUUGAGUACUGGAGAGGAAAGUGGAAUUCCUAGUGUAGCGGUGAAAUGCGUAGAUAUUAGGAGGAACACCAGUGGCGAAGGCGACUUUCUGGACAGUAACUGACGUUGAGGCACGAAAGUGUGGGGAGCAAACAGGAUUAGAUACCCUUGUAGUC